CCUACGGGAGGCAGCAGUGGGGAAUAUUGCACAAUGGGGGAAAGCCUGAUGCAGCAACGCCGCGUGAGGGAUGACGGCCUUCGGGUUGUAAAGCGCUUUCUUCAGGGACGAAAAUGACGGUACCUGAGGAGUAAGCCACGGCUAACUACGUGCCAGCAGCCGCGGUAAUACGUAGGUGGCGAGCGUUGUCCGGAUUUACUGGGCGUAAAGGGAGCGGAGGCGGACUUUGAAAUGAGAUGUGAAAUACUCGGGCUCAACUUGAGUGCUGCAUUGCAAACUGGAAGUCUAGAGUGCAGGAGAGGAGACUGGAAUUCCUAGUGUAGCGGUGAAAUGCGUAGAGAUUAGGAAGAACACCAGUGGCGAAGGCGGUUCUCUGGACUGUAACUGACGCUGAGGCUCGAAAGCGUGGGGAGCAAACAGGAUUAGAUACCCUGGUAGUC
rnacentral:rRNA from 1 species